rnacentral:rRNA from 1 species
ACGUAGGGGGCAAGCGUUGUCCGGAUUUAUUGGGCGUAAAGAGCUCGUAGGCGGUUCCGUAAGUUGAGAGUCAAAUCUCUGGGCUCAACCCAGAGCCGCUCUCAAUACUGCGGUGACUCGAGUCCGGUAGAGGAGUGUGGAAUUCCCGGUGUAGCAGUGAAAUGCGUAGAGAUCGGGAGGAACACCAGUGGCGAAGGCGGCCUUCUGGACCAGUACUGACGCUCAUGCACGAAAGCGUGGGGAGCAAACAGGA